rnacentral:tRNA from 2 species
GGGCCAUUAGCUCAGGUGGUUAGAGCGCACCCCUGAUAAGGGUGAGGUCCCUGGUUCAAGUCCA